rnacentral:rRNA from 1 species
GCAGUCGCCGCGGUAAUGCGUAGGUGGCGAGCGUUGUCCGGAAUUAUUGGGCGUAAAGGGAGCGCAGGCGGACAUAUAAGUCCAUCUUAAAAGUGCGGGGCUCAACCCCGUGGGGGGAUGGAAACCGUAUGCCUUGAGUGCAGGAGAGGAAAGCGGAAUUCCCAGUGUAGCGGUGAAAUGCGUAGAUAUUGGGAGGAACACCAGUGGCGAAGGCGGCUUUCUGGACUGCAACUGACGCUGAGGCUCGAAAGCCAGGGGAGCGAACGGGAUUAGAUACCCCCGUAGUCCCUGUCUCUUAUACA